GAUGAACGCUGGCGGCGUGCCUAAUACAUGCAAGUCGAGCGAACAGACGAGGAGCUUGCUCCUCUGACGUGAGCGGCGGACGGGUGAGUAACACGUGGAUAACCUACCUAUAAGACUGGGAUAACUUCGGAAAACCGGAGCUAAUACGGGAGAAUAUAUUGAUCCGCAUGGUGCAAUAGUGAAAGACGGUUGUGCGGUAACUUAUAGAUGGAUCCCGGCCGCAUUAGCUUGUUGGUAAGGUAACGGCUUACCAAGGCAACGAGGCGUAGCCGAGCUGAGAGGGUGGUAGGCCACACUGGAGGUGAGCCACGGUCCAGACUCCUACGGGAGGGAGCAGGAGGGAAUCUUCCGCAAUGGGCGAAAGCCUGACGGAGCAACGCCGCGUGAGUUACGGAGGUCCUGGGAUCGUAAAACUCGGUUACUAGGUAAGAACAAAUGUGUCCGUAGAUAUGCACGUCUUGACGGUACCUAAUCAGAAAGCCACGGCUAACUACGUG
rnacentral:rRNA from 1 species